AUCAAAGAGACAUACAAAUGGACAUUUACAGAAAACGUAUGGUUCAUCACUUUCGUUUCCUUUAUCUUUAUGCAGAACCGAUUUUCUUCAAAACACUUACUUUUGUGAUUUCGUUAUCUCCAAAUUCGUUUACAUGAUUAUUCGAAUCAAUCGUUUUGUAUACAAAAAUCUAUUCGGAGGGUUAAAUAAGUUGAGUUCGUGAGGUGGUCUCCGUAGAUUCAUUUUCGUGGUGUUGAUUUAAAUUCAGAAAAUGAGAAUUGGGCUGUAGCUCAUGCUUCAUCCAAUUUAAGAGCCAAUUGAAAGGGUAAGUUUUUCUAAUAUCCAAUUUAUGAUAUGCUAUUCCACUUUAACAUUUGUCGUUAUAGGGCUUAAAUAUUUUUACCAAGUAUUUAGAUUCCUACUUGAUUCCAUCGUCUGUAUUUUCGUAAUUGUGUAGAUUUUUUUUUGGGACCAACUAUCAAUUUAUAGACCGAAGAAAGAAAAACAGAGGGGUUGGUACCAGAGAGGACAGCAGCCUUUGCUAAGGCAUCUGCUAGAACAUUCUCAGAACGGGGAAUAAAAGUUAAAGGAAACAUGUAAUUUUGUAGAUUCAAAAAAAGUAUUGUUUUGUAUAUAGUAAUUGUUUGUUAUCUUUGUUAACGACAAUAGAUUUAAGGAAAACCGGUUUGAUUUUAUACAACGGCUAACCUCAAAGGUUUAUUGAAUUUGGUUUUAUUCCAGGAUCUUGA
rnacentral:lncRNA from 1 species